GUGCUCACUUUGGCAGCACAUAUGCUAACAUUGAAACAAUAGAGAGAAGAUUAGCAUGGCCCUGUGUGUGGAUGACACACAAAUUCAUGAAGCACUCAUGUUUUAA